CGGCGGACGGGUCAGUAACGCGUGGGUAACCUGCCUCAUACAGGGGGAUAACAGUUAGAAAUGACUGCUAAUACCGCAUAAGACCACGGUACCGCAUGGUACAGUGGUAAAAACUCCGGUGGUAUGAGAUGGACCCGCGUCUGAUUAGGUAGUUGGUGGGGUAACGGCCUACCAAGCCGACGAUCAGUAGCCGACCUGAGAGGGUGACCGGCCACAUUGGGACUGAGACACGGCCCAG
rnacentral:rRNA from 1 species